rnacentral:misc_RNA from 1 species
GUUAAGGCCAUAUUACAAUUCCGAGUAACCCUUACGCCCGGCCCAAAGUGAUGAAAUGAUGAAUUAACAAGUGAUUAUAAAAUGAGAUAUACAAAAGAUGGAGAUUAUAAACAAAAUGAACUUAAGCUAAGGUAGUAAAGUAUAUAUGGUUUUUUUUUUUUUUUUUUUUUUUUUUUUUUUUUUUUUUUUUUUUUUUAUUUGAUGGUGGGGGUGUGGGGGGGGGGGGGUGGUAGGGGGUGGGUUUUGUAGAAAUGGUGAAACUAAAAGAUAGAUAAAGAAUUUAAAAAAAAAAAUAAAAAUUUUUUUGGGGGGGGGGGGGGGGGGGGUGGUGAGGGGGGGGGUUGUGUUUUUUUUUUUUUUUUUUUUUUUUUUUUUUUUUUUUUUUUUUUUUUUUUUUUUUUUUUUUUUUUUUUUUUUUUAUUCUUACCCUCCGAUAUAGGGGUCGGAGACUUUGUUUGCUAUCUACUCUUUCAUACCAGUUCUCGCUUUUAUGCCUCUCGUACUUUCAUGCCUCAUACUUGAUCUUUCUUACAUCCAUCACCUUUCUCACACAGGGUGGGUUCCCUCUAUUUAGAUCCUAAUUUCUUACUUUGGCUACCUUAGCUUAGCCUGUAUUAUAUGUGUGGGUAAAU